CUUGCUGUGCUUGAUCUCUCCGUGAAUGGUCUCACUUCUUCAAUAUACCCAUGGUUGUUCAACUUCAGUAGCAGCCUUGUUCAUCUUGACCUCUCUAUGAAUGAUCUAAAUGGUUCAAUUCCGGAUGCUUUUGGAAACAUGACUACUCUGGCAUAUCUUGGUCUCUAUGGGAACGAGCUACGUGGUUCAAUUCCGGAUGCUUUUGGAAACAUGACUAGUCUGGCAUAUCUUUAUCUCUCUUCAAAUCAGCUUGAAGGUGAGAUUCCGAAAUCCUUGAGAGAUUUAUGUAAUUUACAGAUACUAUACUUGUCUCAGAACAAUCUCACUGGACUGUUGGAAAAAGAUUUUCUGGCCUGCUCUAAUAACACAUUAGAGGUUUUAGAUUUAUCUCAUAAUCAAUUCAAAGGGUCAUUUCCCUGGCUUUCAGGAUUUUCACAGUUGAGAGAAUUAUAUCUUGAAUUCAAUCACCUAAAUGGAACUUUACCUGAAAGUAUUGGACAACUGGCUCAACUUGAAGUGUUGUCCAUUCGUUCAAAUUCAUUGCGAGGCACUGUCUUGGCAAACUACCUUUUUGGUCUCUCCAACCUGUCUGUCUUAGACUUAUCUUUCAACUCCCUUACAUUCAACAUAAGCCCUGAGCAAGUUCCCCAGUUUCAAGCCUCUCGUAUAAUGUUGGCCUCUUGCAAAUUAGGACCACAUUUUCCUAAUUGGCUUCAAACUCAAAAAUAUUUGUUGGACCUUGAUAUCUCUGCUUCUGGAAUUUCUGAUGUCAUUCCCAGUUGGUUUUGGAAUUUAAAUUCAGGUUUAGCAUGGUUAAACAUUUCCAACAAUCACAUCUCAGGCACUUUGCCAAAUUUACAAGGAAUAUUUUAUUUGGGAAUGUGGGAUAUGAGUUCAAAUUGCUUGGAAGGUUCAAUACCACAAUUUCUUUUCAAUAAUGAAUGGUUGUAUCUCUCCAAGAACAUGUUUUCAGGCUCAAUUUCUUUAUCUUGCCGGAUUGCUAAUCUGUCUGGUUCGGGUUUGUCCCAUCUUGAUCUCUCAAAUAAUCGACUGUCAGGAGAACUACCCAAAUGUUGGGAGCAGUGGAAACAUCUAAUUGUUCUUAAUUUGGCAAAUAAUAAUUUUUCUGGGAAAAUUAAAAAUUCAAUUGGCUUGUUAUAUCGGAUUCAAACAUUGCAUUUACGCAACAAUAGUUUAACCGGAGCAUUGCCUUUGUCCUUAAAGAACUGCAAAGAUUUGUGUCUUGUAGAUUUUGGAAGAAAUAAAUUAUCAGGCAAAAUACCUGCAUGGAUGGGAAGAAGCCUAUCAAGUUUGAUUGUUCUCAACCUAAGAUCCAAUGAAUUUAAUGGAGGCAUACCUUUAAAUCUAUGUCAAUUGAAAAAUAUUCAAAUGUUGGACCUCUCAAACAACAAUCUAUCUGGUACUAUACCAAAAUGUCUCAACAAUUUAAGUGCCUUAACUCAAAAAGGGAGUUUGGUCAUUUCUUAUUAUGAAGGAGAGUUGAAUGGUUGGAAGCUCUCCUAUCUUGAUAAUACAUUGGUUCAAUGGAAAGGAAAAGAACUAGAGUACACUAAAACUCUUGGACUUGUGAAGAGCAUUGAUUUUUCGAAUAACAAGUUAAUAGGAGAAAUUCCGUCAGAAGUAACUGAUUUGGUAGAAUUGGUGUCAUUGAACUUAUCAAGAAACGAUUUGAUUGGACCAAUCCCUGCAACCAUUGGUCAAUUGAAAUUAUUAGAUUCUCUUGAUCUAUCUCAAAACCAGCUUAAUGGUAGAAUUCCAGAUAGUCUUUCUCAAAUAGCUGGUCUAAGUGUUUUAGACCUAUCAAAUAACACCUUGUCAGGUAAAAUUCCAUUAGGCACUCAAUUACAGAGCUUUAAUACCUCCACAUACGAGGGAAAUCCUGAACUUUGUGGGCUACCUCUUUUGAAAAAGUGUCCAAAAGAUGAACCUGGGGAAGCCUCCUUCAUUGGUUUUAGUAGUAAAACAGAGGAUAUUCAAGAUGAUGCAAAUAAUAUAUGGUUUUAUGGAAAUAUCGUUCUUGGAUUCAUCGUCGGAUUUUGGGGAGUUUGUGGCACUUUACUACUCAAUAGUUCAUGGAGAUAUGCCUAUUUCAAGUUCUUGAACAAGAUAAAAGACCGAGUGUAUGUGACAACAACAAUAAAUAUGAAUAGACUAUGGAGGAGCUUCCAAAUUUAAAUGGUAAGAUUUCUCAAAUUCUCUCCUUAGUCUUUUUAAUAAAUUAUAUUACCUUAGUAGCCUCUUUCUAUUAUUGCUCAAAUCCCUAUUCUAUUAAUUAACUUACCUUCCACAACUUAUGGAGAUAAAAUAAGAUUUUUCAAAUAAAAAUAUCAUAUUUUAUUUGAUUAGAUGUGAAAUUCAACUAUAACUAAGGAAGCCUUGAAUAUUUUGAUAUACCAAAUAUAACAACACCACAUUUUUAGUUCUCAUUGUACAUAUAGAUAAAUGUUAUGGCUUGAGAAUCAUAGUUGAAAAAUUAUAAUUAUCACUAUUUUUUUCUCAUCUUGCUUUUACUUACAGUUGUACCUUUUGCUGAAGUUCAGUCAACUUGCUUUAAGAAUAUUUGAGGUUUUAUUGUAAGAAGCAUACUACCAUACUUUCCUUUAUAUUAAUCAAGAAAAGUAAAUUUGCUUCUAUUGAAGACAUUUUUUUCAAAUUGAUGAAUAUUAUUUCAUUUGUUGUAUUGCAGAACUUCAAUUGGGUUGCAUCUCAAGGAUUAGUAGGUAAUAUAUGCUUGUGAGUAAUGAGUUUAUUUAGUAUUGGACAGCCUGAAUGUAAGAGCAUUUGUGUUUAUUGAACUCAUCAUCUUAUAAAUAACUUUGGCGUGUAUUAAGUUUGUUUAUUUGAUAAUAGGCGUGGCUUAAGUUUCUUAUGUUAUGCUCUAUUUAGAGCGAAUCAAAUAUAUUAGAGGAUGAUAUCAAGUCCUUUGUGGUGCAAUGCUAGAAACUACUUCGCUUUAAAAAAAACGUUUUCUUUUGCUCAAAAACCAGUAGCAACUAAAGCCAUAAUUUAAAAUGGGACAUGGUAAGACUAAGAACAGAAACUGAGCACUCUGUUUUUCUGGUGCCCAAGCAUGGAAGUUAUUAUAAUAAAAAGAAACAGCUGGUCAGAAUAAAACAAAAUUCAAAACAUGGUGUUUCUCACAAUGCAUAUUGAGGCUUCAUCCACUGAUAUUCCACAACAGAUUAACCGUCAAAAACCCUUAUGUUGAGUAGGAGAAAAGAAGCUCCAUACUUCUCAGGACAUACAGAACAACACCUUGGGUAGAGACCUUGACCAUGCUUGCAGAAAUGUGUUUUUGGAGCAGCAAUCCGAAGUAUAGGAGGCUUCAUAUUUGGGAACACUCCUCAUUCAAUGUAUCAUUGUGACUGAGAUGACUACAUAUUGAGGUUUGAUCAGUUCUAGGAAGGUGACUGGUUAUCAUAAAGCAUUUACCAACCAUUCUUGAAUACAUACUUAUGUGAUUUAGCAGGAUGGAACUGCAACUAGUCAUUAAUUAAGCAACAAAAAUGGCUGUGGUAAGAUUCUGAGACAUUGAUUGUAUAUUCCAUUGUUUUUUAUUUGAGGUUAAAUUCGGCUUUUGUUUUUUUUACUUUUUAAUUCUCUACUGCUUACAUGCCUCUUGUAUCUGAAGAGGCUAAUUGUUCAUGCGGUUGAAUUUUGCAACAUUUUCUUAUUGUUCGGGGCUUAAGCUUCUGUUCAUUUUUUCAUUAUUAUGUUUUUGUGCUUUGUUUUUUAUGACUAAUCCCAUGCCACAUAGUGAAGUGUUCACAGAGAAUGACUGGAAAUUUGUCCAGCUUGGGCUUGCUCUAUUUUAGAACAUUUUAGCCAUUCAAGACAUCUCGUUGCAGUAGAAGGCUGGGAGUCUGCACGCCACUCAAUUUUUAUCUCUGAGUAACCAAUUUUUGGUGCUGUUAUUCUUCAUUGAUUUAGAAGAUGAGCUGUUAUUUUUGGGGAUAUCUGUGUUAUAAUACACAAUAGUAUGCAUUGGGAUAUGCUACUACUGAAAACAGAACAAUCUGUUUUUGUGGCGUCCAAGCAUAAAAGCUAUUGUCACACAGCGAGGUCUGAUUUCCAACUGUGAAUCAAAUUGCUCGAGGUACUUCAUAUGCAGAUCGCUGCAAGUGGCUUUGGCCAUCAAUCUCCUUCAGGGGAUGAUAAUAUUGAGAUUGCAGUGAAGGUUUGGGUGUUUGUCACAAUGCCUGUUGAAGCGUCAUCAGAUGAUAUUUAGUCAUCAGAUGAUAUUUAAUGACAGAUAGGGUAUCUGUGGGGUUGAAAUCUCAUUACAUGCGGCAACACAGUUCUUGAUAUUUAAUGACAGAACGGUAAGCGAACUUUAUAUGUAGUUUUUUCCCUUCUCAUGGGUUCAUUUGUAAGUGUCCCAAUUUUCAAACAGAUGAAUAAUGGAUGGUGAAAGUGUCCUACACAUCAUAGAACAAAGAACAAGGAACAAGGAUCAGGAGUUCCCUUUACCUCUUGGGAUCUGUGUUGACACAUCCAUCUCAAAUUUCACUACUUGCAUUUUCUUUUGGGAAGUUUUUAUUGAGGACAGAAUAAUAAAUUAGCAUAUAGCUCUGUGAUAUCUGUCUAACCAUGCUGGCUUUUCCAUUUUGCAGAUUUGCAUGCUAGAUUUAGUGCUUAAACUAUCACUGGAAGAUUCUAAAGAGCCUCAAACAGCCCACAUCCUUCUUUAAAAGUUAGAUUUAUGAUCAGACUGAUCAAGGGUUGACUCAUUUUCUCUUGAAUCUGAUCAAAUCCUUCGACUCUCAUACUAACCCAAAAGGUUUCCCCUUUCAUUUCAACAACUUAGAAGUUCAUUGUUGAUGAUGAUGUUGCUGUUAUAUUCAUUAUUAUUACAACUAAUUUGAUAAGCAAUUAUUGUUAUUAUUUUUCUUUAUCUUAUAACACAAUCAUAUGAUAAAUGGAAUAUAAUGUCAUGACUGCAUUGAAAUUCUUGACCAAACAGAAAAAUGGGAAAUUUUGCUGUCUAUUUUAAAGCAUUGUAAUCAAUAUAGGGUAUCAUGAUGAUGAAUCAAGUCAACCUUGCCCCUACACUUUUGUGGUUGUGAAUGCAUUGAAAGAAAGUAAUAAUUCAGUCUGUGAAUCAAACAGGCCAUUAGUUCUUCGAAAGACUGAUACUCGAGAUGAAUGGGAAUUUGAGGCUGUAAGGCUGGGACGAUGAUGUAAACGGCACUCGCCAAUGGGUUCCUGAAUGGUCUGCAGUUUCUAAUCCAUGUGAUAUUGCUGGGGCUUGCCCUGUGUAGCUUGGACUGAAGCAAAACUAAUGCCUCCAGCAUGUACAUGCCUGCUGGGGGCUUCUAAUGUGGGAGACGGCGGCCAGUGCUCAGAGAAUUCUUCGGUGUCAACCGCGAGAUGUGAUAAUAAUCAUCGGAAUUCGACUGCUUCCAAGCUGAAGAUGUCGAUAGUGCAGCAAACUAAGUACUAUUAUCUCAUUUUUCCGAUUAUAGCAAAUUACAGUAACAUCUCGCCAUUAUCACAGUGCGGUGAUGCUUGUUUAUCAGACUGUGAUUGUGCUGCUUCCGUGUUGGCUGCUAAACAACUUGGAGUUUGGUGGAUUCGAGGACACGAGUUCGACCUUGUUUGUGAAGGUUGGGCCUAAGGGAUCACCUGGAGGCAACGCAACAGGAUUUGGGGAUUCAUCUGAUGGCCUCUGAGACAAGGUCUUAGUUCUUCCAAUUGUUCUCAGCAUGACUGUCCUUGUAGGACGACUCUGCUUCUUGUUAUACCACAGUGUGUACAGGAGGAGGGCCUUGAAGAGAGCCCUGGAAAGCCCCUUGAUUGUGUCCGGCGCUCCAAUAAAUUUCAGUUACUGUGAUUUGCAGUGCAGAACCGGCAAUUUGCACAGGUCAGCAUGUACAUAUACAUAUAUAGACUUUGAAAAGGAUGAAAUUGCUUGAACAAAGCCAAUUAGACUUGAUCAAUGAGGAUUAAUGUUGUCUUCUUUUUUUUUUUUUUUUUCAUGAGAGUUUGGGAGUGUAUACAAGAUGGGACAUUGGUUGCAGUGAAGAAGCUUGACAAGCCUCUUGGGAAGAAGGAAUUCAUAACUGAAGUGAAAACUAUUGGCUCUAUGCAUCACAUGAACCUGGUUCAACUCUGCGGCUACUGCUCAGAAGGCUCUCACCAGUAUGCAUUUCAUUUCAUUGCCUAAUACCAAUUACCACUAACCAUAUUUAAAUUCUUAUCAUCCUCUUUGGGGGUCAAGCAUACUAUAUCUUCGAGCUUGUAAUGGGGUUGGAAUUUGAUGAUUCUUCACAGGCUUCUGGUUUAUGAGUUCAUGAAAAACGGUUUCUUGGACAAGUGGAUAUUUCCCUCAAAGCAUUGUCGGGACAGACUGCUAGAUUGGGGAACUCGCUUCCAUAUAGCCAUUGCUACUGCACAAGGUAUUGCUUAUUUUCAUGAGCAGUGCAGGAACCGGAUCAUCCACUGUGAUAUCAAGCCCGAAAACAUACUUCUAGAUGAGAAUUUCUAUCCAAAAGUUUCAGACUUUGGACUAGCAAAGCUGAUGGGCAGAGAGCAUUGACAUGUAAUCACUAUGGUGAGAAGAACUAGUGGUUAUUUGGCUCCAGAAUGGGUGAGCAACCGACUUGUUACUGUAAAAGCCGAUGUCUACAGUACAGAUAGCUUCUUUUGGAGAUCGUUGGUGGCUGGAGAAACCUUGACAUGACUUUUGAUGAAGAAGACUUCUUCAAUCCUGGGUGGGCUUUUAAGGUAUAGAUCAGUCAAGUUCUUGCUUUUGUAAAUCACAAAUUGUUAAGUGUUUGAUAUUUUAUUAACAAAAAUGUCAAUUCCUCUAGGAAAUGAGUAAUGGGACGACGAGAAAAGUUGCAGACAGGCGAUCGACUGGAAGGGGCAAUGGAGGAAGAAGAGCUGGAAGAGCAUUGAAAACCGGCUUUUGGUGCAUUCAAGAUGAGGCUUUCAUGAGGCCUUCAACGGGGGAAGUGGUGAAGAUGUUGGAAGGAUCACUUGAAAUCAACACACCGCCAAUGCCACAGACAGUGCUGUAGCCCAUGGACGAAGGCCUAGACAAUGUAUACAGAGCCAUGAAGAGAGAGUUCAACCAGUCCAGCUUCAUCACCAUCAAUAGUACCCAUCCUUCAUCAAGGGCUACAUGUAGUUAUUCCACAAUGUCACCAAGAUAGCAAAGGAGAAAUGGAACAAAUUUUGUUGCUGUCCAAGAAUUUUAUCCCCAUGAUACUUUGAUACUGUCCAGAAACAUAGUAUUUAUUGACCAUUUGUUAAACUAGUAGAGAACUUUGCAUAAUGUUGUUGCUAAGAUUUCAAAUGGUAAAAGAAAUUAUAUUAAUUGCGAAACAAAAACAUAAACAAUUAGGUUGAGGUACGGAAAUCUCGUUCUUUUAAAGGAGAUUUAAGCCAUUUCUAGUUUGACAAUUUCAGAAAUCGGUAUACUUGACUUCUCUUUGGUUUGUCCCCUCAAGGAUACAAUGGUCCAAGUGAUUUGUUGCAUAGCUCACGUCAAUAUGCAUAAAGCAUAGAACUCAAAGCUAGCGGUUCACAAACAAACCUAUUUUUUUUGGCCAAGAGAAAAUAAAUAAAUAAAAAGGAAGAAGGCAGAAGAUGACUAAAAAAAUGUGUUAAAGUUAUAUGACAUUAGGAGGGUGAGUCAAGGCUAAUCAUAAAGUUUGAAAUGUUCAACAAUUUCAAAAUAAUUCAAUCUCGAUAAAUCCCAUUAACAUAAAUGAUAUUUAAUAUUUUUUAAUUUCCAUAAUUUUACAUUUGUAACUACAAAUUUAAUAACCCAUUAUGCCAACUUUAAUCCCUAUAACUUUCAUAUAUAACCACAACGUUAGUAACUAGUUUCUUUAAUCCCAAAUCUCCAUUUUUUUGAACUUUUAAAAACUUUUUUGGACCUCAUAUGACUUAGAUAUUGAUUUGAUAGGUUAAUUAUGCUUAGGGGGUGUUCAAUUGAUGCUUGAAAAAAAUCAAAAUAAAAAAAGACUAAGAAAUGAGUAAGGAUACAAAGCAUGUCAAAAUAUGAUAUCCCACAUCGGAUAUGGAAGAAAGUUCUUGACACUAUAUAUGUAGAGACUCCUCUUAAUUAUGUAAACGUGUCUUAAAACCAUGAGGGUCCCUUUGGGUUUAAAGCGAACAAUAUCUAUACUACGAAAAAUGUGAUGAAUUCUCGCAUUCUUCAUACCCUCCUCCACUUCUUUGAACUUUAAAAAAAAAAAUUGAACAUCAUAUGAUUUUGAUAUUGAUUAAAUAGGUUAAUUACACUUGGUGGGUAUGAGAUUAAUGCCCGAAAGAAUUGAAAUCGAAAAUUUAAAAAAAAUUUUGAGGAUUCCUCACACUCUUCAUACCUUAUCAAAUUUCCACUUCUUUCAAUUUUUGAAAUCUUUUUUGAAUGUCAUAUGGAUUGAAUAUUGAUUAAAUAAGUUAAUUUAGAAGGUGUGAAAUUGAUGUCUGAAAAAAUCAAAAUCCAAAAAUAUUAAAAAAUUAGCAAAGAGUGUGGAAUUCCUUAUUGCUACUAAUUAUAUUAUUAUUAUUAUUUUGUAUUUUCAAUACUUCAACCAAUAUUUGAUGUGAUUAAAUUUAAAAUGUAAGAAAGAAUUUAUUAAUACAAUUUUCAAUUAAUAAUUAGUACACAACUAUCUUAAUUUUUAAACAUUGUAUACUUAUUUAAAUUUAUUUUCAUAUUUUUAUAAAAGUGUAAUUACACUUACAAUUUAUUGAAAUUUUUGUAAAGCUCCUGAGACGUAAAGGUUAUAUCACGAUACUGAAUUCUGCUAUGCUCGCCUUUCAAGCUCUGAUGCUCCACGCCUGCAGCUCCGUUCUUUGCAACUGAAAUACACCAUUAGCUAUGUCCGCCUGUGAUUAAUGCUCUUGCCAAUGGAGCCGGUGAAAUUUAUUUACAUUGUUUUUCUUUCCAAAGUAUUUUUUUAGAUGGAAAGAAAAAGAGACAAAUUAUAAAAAAUAAAUCUCCAAUACCAAUAUUUAAAAAUGAUUUAUCUAUUUGUCAACACAAUUUGAGUGGAAGAAUAAUCAAGACAUGUGAAAAUCUAUAUAUCAGGAAUCAAAUAGGGCCCAAGAACAGGUUCCAACAAGAACCAUCAAUGGGUUGCCCAAUCAAUAACAAAAGGCCCGGUCUCAUGGAUCACACAAAAUGGAGUCACCACACGAUAGGUUUAAACCCAAAUAUAAAUUUCAAGUUCAUAUUUUCAAUCCCAUUUAUAAUUUAUUUAUUCAAAUUAGAAAUCUAUUUAUCAAGAAUUAAGUUAGAGUGCAUGGAGACCAAAGUUAAGAGAGAGGAUCAUGCCAAGAUUUAAAAUGAACAAAAUAUUUAUGAUUUAUCUAUAAUAAAUAUUCAAAUAAUAUUAAAAAAAAAACUAAUUAUUUUGAUGAUCAUAAAAUAUAUCAUUAUUGAAAUACAAACAAAUUUAAAUAAUAAAAUCUUUUUUUAUCUUAAUAAUUAAAAGUUACAUAUUUAAUAAAAUUAAAAUUACUAAUAAUUUAAUAAAUCUUUGUGUCAUUCUUAUCAUAAUUUAAGUUGUCAACAUUAAUGAUAUAAGAUGAUGAAAUGUAUUUAAAUUUUUUAAUUAUUUAUAUAUUUUUAAUUUCUUAUAAUUAGUUUAAAUUUUAAUAAUAUAUAAAUUAUAUAUUUAUGAGAUUACCAAUUUGAUCACUGUUUAACCAUAAAUCAAUAAUUUUUCUCAUUGAAUAAUCAAUCUAAUUCUAAAAACAUUGAUAAAAACUAAAGAAUCUUUAUUAUAAAAAAAAUAAAAGAUGUAAAAAACAAAUAAUUUGACUAGUCAAAGUAAAGGUCAUGGGUGACUUUUGGAAGCCUAGAAUAACAUAGGAAAUGUACAAGAAAUCAUUGAGCUUGCCAUUUAUUUCAGUAUUUGGAGGAUAAUAUUUAAUUUUUAAUCAUAUAAAAACAAAAGUAUAUUUAAUUCAUUAUUUUCUAAUAUUAUCUUAGAAAUAUUUUUAGAGAUAUAUUUAUUUUAGAACUUAUUGAGGAUAUUAAUACAAUGAAUUUGAUAAAUGUAAUAUAAAAAUGUAUAAAGUCAUUAAUUUUUUUUAUUUAUUAAAUUUGAAAUAUACAUAUCAUGUAGUAAUUUUUUGAAAAAAAAGAUUACUUUUAUAAAGCCAAUUCAAGGAAAAAGAAAACAUAACACUAUCCUCACUUCUCCGUGGUGUUUUAUUUCAUAUUAGAAAUCCUUCUAAUAAAAUUUCCUUUCUAAAAAUUUUAAAAAUAUUUUUUAUAACUACAAAAAAAAAAAAAAAAAAAAAAAAAAAAGCAUUACACUUAUCUUAUUCAUUACACUUUUAGAUUAUGUUGGUUUUAUUGGGAGCAGGGGGAAGGGAAUGGGAAGGAGAAAGUAGGUUUGCUUACUUGGAAAUGCUAUUUACAGAGAGACGGGGGUUUAGCCAGCUGAGAUUUGAAACAAAGAAAGGAAAGCUGGUGAUGGUGGAUUGAAUAUAGAGAAUGUGGGGUUUUGGGGUUGGGAGGCAUAUAUUCUUGACUGUUACGGUAACAACAUUUAUGAAAUGGACACAGCCUCCCUGAUGGUAGUACUCCAAAACGAUGUCGUUUCAGGACCCAAAAAGACAGGGUUUUAUCUCCCUCACCGCAUUGUAAUUAUUAUUAUUACGAUGGUUAAAAUUAGGAGUCAAUUUCUUGGGAUAUUCCACUAAUAAAAAAUAAAUAUAUUAUUUAUUUUAUUUUAUUUUUUAUUUCACUUAUCUUAUCAUAUUGUAGACCCCCCAUACGGUGAGGGCUUUUGGGUUUUUUUUGUUUUUGUUUUUUUUGUUUUUUAUUUUAUUCUUCUGACCACCCUAGAAAUUAAGCUGCAUGGGGCGGCAGAUGGGAUGGGUGGCAGGGGGCAAGCGGUGGCUUGCUGAGGAAGACGAGAGAAAAUAAAAAAAAAAAGAGGAAAAGGAAAAGGGAGAUCUGCAGAGGGUGGGAGGACUUUUCCGGAGAGCAGAAGACACCACUGUCAGUUGGAGGGCUCAGGUAUGGCCAUCUUCUCAAUUUUGGGUCUUUCUUUUUCGCUAUUUUUACUCAAUUCAUGCUGUGAAUCUAUUCUUCUCUGUCAUUGGGCUUGUUGAUUAUUGCUUUGGCACCUUUCUCUCCGAACCCCAUGCUCGUCCCUGCCUCACCCACGUCCCACGCAUGGCCGUCACCCUCACCUAUCUUCCUCAUCACCUCUUUCUCCCUCUAAUCGCCAUACCCGACUCCACAAGGACUCCCAAGGUCGCUCUUCUGCACGCAUGGAGUCCAAGCAAGCAUGCUGCCCCUCCCCGCAUCUCCUUGCUGCGCGCACCGCGCCGACGAGGCGCUUGCUCGUCUCACCAGCCGUUGCCUCGCCGCCAACCGCCAUCACCCGCUCCGGCUACGCUCACAUCUGCUCUUGCUCCGGGACCGCGUCGCCGCUGCCAUCGCUCCAGGACCACGCCGCCGCUGCAAUCGCUCCAGGACUACGCCGCCGCCGCCAUUACCCGCGACAGCGCCACCGCUGCCAUAGCCCGCGGCAGCGCCACCGUCUUCGCCUGGAAGGGCGAGAUCCUCCCGAGGCCUAGGAGCUGUCCACCAAGCUUGGAGAAAUCCGUGACUCCGAGCACCGUCGCCGCAGCCAGACGCGAGGGGGGGGGGGGGGGGGGGAACUAGGAAGAAGAUGAAGUCUUGUUGGGCUUGGGCUAAGGCUAGGCCCAAUUUGUGUUUGGUUUUGGCUAGGCCCAGUUUUGAGUUUGGUUUUGGGUUUGGGUUAUGAAGGCUUUGGGCUUGGGUUUGAGUUUGGAGCCCAGGCCCAAGCCUAUGCUGAAGAUGGGGCCUUUGUCUUGAGCCCAUUUCUAUUAUUACCAUAAUUAUUAUUAUUGUUAUUUUUAAUUAUUAUUGUCAUUGCUAUUAUUAUUACUAUUAUUAUUAAUCAUUGUUAUCAUUAUAUUUACUACUAUUAUUAUUAAUCAUUAUUAUCAUUAUAAUUAUUAUUAUUAUUAUCAUUAAUUAUUAUUGUCAUUGCUAUCAUUAUUAUUAUUGCUAUUAUUAUUACUAUUAUUAUUAAUCAUUGUUAUCAUUAUAUUUAUUAUUAUUAUUAUUAAUCAUUAUUAUCAUUAUAAUUAUUAUUAUUAUUAUCAUUAAUUAUUAUUGUCAUUGCUAUCAUUAUUAUUGUUAUUAUGAUUGUUGCUAUUAUUAUUAAUCAUUGUUAUCAUUAUAUUUAUUAUUAUUAUUAUUAAUCAUUAUUAUAAUUAUAAUUAUUAUUAUUAUUAUUAUUAUUAUUAUUAAUUAUUAUUGUCAUUGCUAUCAUUAUUAUUAUUAUCGGCAUUAUGAUUGUUACUAUUAUUAUUAAUCAUUGUUAUCAUUAUAUUUAUUAUUGUUAUUAUUAAUCAUUAUUAUCAUUGUUAUUAUUAUUAUUAUCAUUAUUAUCAUUAAUUAUUAUUAUCAUUAUUAUUAACUCAACUUUCAAAAUCUAUUUAUCAUUAUUAUUAUUAUCAUUAAUCCAAACUUUCAACACCUAUUCAUUAUUAUUAAUUAUUAUCAUUAAACCCAACUUCCAAAAUCUCAUCAUUAUCAUUAUUAUCAAUUCACAUUUUCAACACCUAUUUAUUAUUAUUUAUUAUUAUCAUUAGUCCAAACCUCCAAGAUCUCAUCAUUAUUAUUAUAAUUAACUCAACUUUCAAAAAUCUAUUUAUUAUUAUUAUCAUCAUUAAUCCAAGCUUUCAAAAACCUCAUCAUUAUUGUUAUUAUUACCUCAACUUUCAAAAUAUUAUUAUUAUUAUUAUUAUUAUUAUUAUCAUUGAUUAAUACUUUCAAAACCUUAUUAUUAUUAUUAUUAUUAUUAUUAAUUCAAACUUUCAAGACCUUAUUAUUAUUAUUAAUUCAAACUUUCUAACUUCCAAUUUCCAAGCCCAAUUUAUAAAAAUUCAACCUUCAAAUAAUACUUCAAAAUUCCGACAUUUAAAAUUCAAUUCCAAUUUCCGAAAAUUCUCAUACUCACUUUAAUUUAUUUAAUCACUAAUACUUUAUUCAUUUAUUUUUAAAACUCCAUUCUUAAUCUAUUUAUUUAAAAUUUCUGUUUGCCGAAUUAAAUUCCGAAAAUUCCCAUUCUCACUUCAAUUUAUUUAAUCACUAAUACUUUAUUCAUUUAUUUUUAAAAACUCCAUUCUUAAUCUAUUCUUUAAAAUUUCCAUUUACCGAAUUAAAUCCCGAAAAUUCCUAUACUCACUUUAAUUUAUUUAAUCACUAAUACUUUAUUCAUUUAUUUUUAAAACUCUAUUCUUAAUCUAUUCUUUAAAAUUUCCAUUUACCGAAUUAAAUUCCGAAAAUUCCUAUACUCACUUUAAUUUAUUUAAUCACUAAUACUUUAUUCACUUAUUUUAAAACUAAUCUAUUCUUUAAAAUUUCCGUUUAUCGAAUUACAUUUCUAUUUUUGAAAAUUCCAGUAUUCACAUUAAUUUAUUUAAUUAUUAUUAUGUUAUUUAUUUAUUCUAAAAUUCUAUUUUAAACAAUUCAUUUAAAACUUUCGAUCUCUGAAUUAAAUUUCUAUUUCUGAAAAUUUCACUAUUCACAUUAAUUUAUUUAAUUAUUAUUAUGUUAUUUACUUAUUCUAAAAUUCCAUUUUAAACAAUUCAUUAAAAUUUCCGACUUUCGAUUUUAAUUUCUAAUUCCAAAAACUCCAAUAUUCGCAUUAAUCUAUUUAAUUAUUAUUAUUUUAUUUAUUUAUUCUAAAAUUCUAUUUUAAACAAUUCAUUUAAAACUUUCGACUUCCGAAUUAAAUUUCUAUUUCUGAAAAUUUCAAUAUUCACAUUAGUUCAUUUAAUUAUUAUUAUUUUAUUUAUUUAUUCUAAAGUUCCGUUUUAAACAACUCAUUAAAAUUCUCGACUUCUGAUUUAAUUUAUAAUUCCAAAAUUCCAAUACUCACAUUAAUCUAUUUAAUUAUUAUUAUUUUAGUUAUUUAUUUCGAAAUUCCAUUUUAAACAAUUCUUCAAAAUUCAAAAUUCGGAACUUAAUUUCCAAUUUCCAAAAUUCUAAUUUCUUUCAAAUUUAAUAUCCAAAAUUCCAAUUCUUAAAUUUAAUUCUCAAGACUCCAAUCUUCAAAUAAUUUUCGAGACUCCGAUUUCCAAAUAAAUAUCCAAAAUCAAGUUUUUACUCCAAUAGUUUUAAUUCCAUUUCGGUUCUUAAAUAAUCUUUUGAUCUUCUGGAUUUUACAUAAGCAAUAAUGAAUUCUUCAUAAUUCUAAAACAUGGAAUUUGUGAGAUUAGUUCAUGAACAAUAAAUUGGGCUUUGGUGGGGGGGCCAUAUGAUUGAUCCCUAUUGAUUGUCAACUGUUGUGCUUGAUAUAUUUUGCUCGAUCUUCAUUUUGCGCUCCGAUAUGCAUGAGCUAUAAUUCGUAUUCGUUAAUUGUGUACUAAUCCCGUUUCUUGAUAGCGCAUUGUGGCUCGUGGCUCAGGUACGCACACAUUUUCAUUUUGAUCAUUCUCUAUGCAUGUUGGAUUUUCAUAUGUGCAUGAUUUGACUUAGGCAUCCAUUGAUUGUCACGUCGGCUUCAUUUUAUUAGUAGAGACCCGACUUUAGGGGCUUAGAGGGGUGCUACGGUCUUUACCGUACCUUCCCGAUGAGUAACCUGACCCCCGAACCCGAUCCGAUUUUUCACAGACCACCUUUUCCAAAAUAAGGAGUCACACUUAGGGUUUUUCUUUCUUAUUUUGUUUACCCUUUUAAAAUAAAACAAAAAUAAGUGGCGACUCCAAGUCAUUUUCAAAUAGUCAAUAAAAAUCAAUUUUCCUAAAUAAACAUCGAGCUCGCCAUUGAGUGGGAAACGCAUUGAGCCGAAAUGCGGGGUCCACACAUAUAUUUAACUAAAUAUGACAUAAGAUAAACUAUGAGAUAUAUUAUUUGUUUUAUUUUUUAUAAAUAUGUUAAUACCAAGUUAAAUUAUAUAAAAUACACAUAUCCCCUGUAUUAUAAAUUUAUUUAUUUAUUUAUCUAUUUUUAAUUUAUAAAAUAAUUUUUUUAUAAUAAAAUAUAAUUUAUGGUUAAAAAGAACUCAAAAAUUUAUAAAAUAUAUUAUAAAAUAAUAUUAAUUAUAUGUAUUAUUUAAUAUAUAAAUUAUUUUUAUAUAUUUCAAAUAACAUAAUAUAAAAAAAUUAUUUAUAAAGUUUAAAUAUUUUAAUCAUGAAUAUUUUUAUAUUUUUUUAAAUAAAAAAUAUUAGAAUAUAAUAUAAAUUUUAUUUUAAAAUUUUAAAAAUAAUAUAUAUUCUAUUUUAUGUUUUUAUUCAUUUUAUAAACUAAAUAUAAAUCUAAUAUAACAUGUUUUAUUGGAUAUCUUAGUUUAAGAUAUCAUAUCCAUUGCAUAUAAUAUAUCACAUUCAAUUGAAAAUCAUAUAGCAUGAGAUAUGAUAUUUCAAGAUAUAUAUACAUAUAUAUUUUAUCCAAUGAACCAACAUAAUCUAAAUUAGUUAUAAAAUAUAUUAUUUUUAAAAGUGUUUAUUUCUUAGUCAUUACACUUUAUUAUUAUUAUUAUUAUUAUUAUUAUUAUUAUUAUUAUUAUUAUUAUUUUCUUUAUUUUUUUCACAUGCAAUGAUAGUUUCUAGUCAUCAUGCCUUGCAAGACCCAAUACUCACAAAAUUUACAAGUUUACUCAUCAUAUCUUUUAAAUUUUUUGUUACUCCUAAAGUAUUCAAGACUUUUAGCAAUGUCAUAUCCUUAUCACUACAACUAACAACUUUGACCAAUUCAAAAAAUGAACUUCACAUGCAAUAGUAGUUCUAAUCAUCAUGUCUUGCAAGACCCGAUAGUUACAAAAUUUUCAAGUCUACUAUUCAUCAUAUCUUUUAAAAUUUUGGUUACUCAUAAAGUAUUCAAGACUUUUAGCAAUGUCAUAUCCUUAUCAUUAUAACUAAGAACUUUGCCCAAUUCAAAAAAUGAACUUCUCAUGCAAUAGUUCUAGUCAUCAUGCCUUGCAAGACCCGAUAGUUACAAAAUUUUCAAGUCUACUACUCAUCAUAUCUUUUAAAAUUUUGGUUACUCAUAAAGUAUUCAAGACUUUUAGCAAUAUCAUAUCCUUAUCAUUACAACUAAGGACUUUGCCCAAUUCAAAAAAUGAACUUCACAUGUAAUAGUAGUUCUAGUCAUCAUGCCUUGCAAGACCCGAUAGUUACAAAAUUUUCAAGUCUACUACUCAUCAUAUCUUUCAAAAUUUUGGUUACUCAUAAAGAAUUCAAGACUUUUAGCAAUGUCAUAUCCUUAUCACUACAACUAAGAACUUUGCCCAAUUCAAAAAAUGAAUUUCACAUGCAAUAGUAGUUCUAGUCAUCAUGCCUUGCAAGACCCGAUAGUUACAAAAAUUUCAAGUCUACUACUCAUCAUAUCUUUUAAAAUUUUGGUUACUCAUAAAGUAUUCAAGACUUUUAGCAAUGUCAUAUCCUUAUCACUACAAUUAAGAACUUUGACCAAUUCAAAAUAUGAACUUCACAUGUAAUAGUAAUUUUAGUUAUCAUGCCUUGCAAAACCCGAUACUUACAAAAUUUUCAAGUCUACUACUCAUCAUAUCUUUUAAAAUUUUGGUUACUCAUAAAAUAUUCAAGACUUUUAGCAAUUCAAAAGUGCAUGCUUUAGAAAGUUAUUACUUUUUGUAGUUUAAAUGUGAGUGUUAUGUAUUUGUCUUUUCACAUAUUUAUAUAUAACCUAGAUGGCCAAUCAGGCCAUUACCAUACAAUUUUUUUUUUUUUUUUAUAUAUAAUCUCAUAAAGCAUUUUCAAUUUUUUUUUAUAAUGUAUAUAAAAUAAUGUCAAUCCAUUUACACUUACGAAAAUGAUUUUUCUUAAAAAUGUCAAAGGCAACGAGGUAUGAAUAUUUUUAUAUCUGGAAACUGCAGGGACCCACUAAGGGGAGUACAUGCUAUUAGUGUCGGUGAGGAGAAGAUAGAGGAAACACAUUGGGGGGUGAGUCAAGGAGGAAGGGGCGUGCCGCCCUGCCGGGAGCGUGGUGGCAUGAAUUACUUGGGCGGAGCGAGAUGUCACGUGGACCGCGCUUUGCGCGGACACGCGGCGACCUGCAGAUCCGGAGGGGCGACGUUGUCUAACGAAUUUUAGAAAUUCGUGCCACUAGCCAUAUGGAUUUUGGACUAAAAUAAAAAACAAGACUUUAUUUUUGUUAUUUCUUUUAUAAGGAUGUCAUAAUUAAUAAUUCAAAAAUGUUAAUAAUUAAUUAUUAAAGAGAUUUUUGCUACUCUUCGAAAUUAUAAAAAAGUUUAUACACUCAUAAAACAAAUAAAUGUAUCUUCUAAUAAAUAAAUUUUUAUUAAAAUAAAUAAAUAUAUAUCUAAUUUUGAAUUUAUUAAUAUGAAGUAAAUUGUAUGUAUCUUAAGUUAGAUUUCUUAUUGAUUAAAAAAAAAGACCAUUCAAGGUUUAGCUAGAUGAAAAAAAAAUCUUUAUUUAUUAGAAAAUUCAAUUUUUUUUGAAUGAUGAAUCAUUGAUAAUGAUAUAUAAAAAUAAUUUAUAUAUCAUAUAUUAAUAUUACUUUAUAAAUAUUUUUAGUUUUUCUUUUUUAACCAUAAAUUUAAUUUAUAAUUAAAAAAAUUAUUUUAUAAAUGGUAUCUCUUGUCAUCAUACCUUUCAAGACUCUAAGCUCAUAAAAAUUUUCAGUAUUUUCAUCAUAUCUUUUAAAAAGCCAUGUAUAACGGGUCUUUUUUUUCUUAAGUUUAAGUCAAUAAAUCAAAUUAAAAAAAAUAAUAAACUUUCAUUAUUGUAUUUUAUAUUGUAGCGAGAGACUUAAAAAGUCAUGUAUAACAAGUCUUCCUUUCAUAAGUCAAGUCAAUAAAUAGAAUUAAAAGAAAUAAUAAAUUUUCAUUAUUGUACUUUGUCUUGUAGCAAGAGACUUAAAAACCCAUGUAAGAGGUCUUCAUUUCUUAAGUCAAGUCAAGUCAAGUCAAUAAAUCGAAUUGGAAGUUUUUCCUUUUCUCUUUUUUUAAACCAACUUCUACUAUUACUUUUAUUAAUUAUUUUGAUCAUUUGAUUAAAUAUUAAAUUAUUAUUAUUUUUUUUCAAGUACAAACCAUUUCAUGUUAAAAAAUUUAAAGUGGAUCUAACUUUCUUUACAAGUUAAGAUAUCUUGAUAAAGGGAUAAAUAAUGGAUUGUAAUAUUUCAACUUUAAUUAAGUUAAUUUAUCAAUAUUCAAACUAAGUUGGAGAAAAAAAAAAAACAAAGACAACACCUCAAUUUUAGUUUUCCAUUACACAUGGUUAUUUCUUUUUCUUCUUUUUCCUUUGCUUCUUUGACACGCAAUGGUAUCUUUAGUCAUCAUACAUUAAAAAAAACAAGAUAAAGAAACAUUAGUCUACAUUGAGUGUGUUAAUAUGAAGUACAUUUUGUAGAUGAUGAAUCAUUGAUGAAGAUAGGCUAAGGAAUUUUUUCGGUCUAUAGAAUGACUUGUUAAUUAAAGUUGGAAUAUUAUAGUACUUUAUUUUUAUUAUCUCUUUAUCAAGAUGUCUUAAUUAAUGAUUCAAAAAUGUUAAUAAUAUCAUAAAAGAUAUUUUUUCUACUCUUGAAAAUUAUAAAAAAAGUUUAUACACUCAGAAAACAAAUUAUCUUCUAAUAAAUAAAUUUUAUUAAAAUAAAUAAAUAUAUGUCUACUUUGAAUUUAUUAAUAUGAAGUAAAUUGUAGGUAUCUUAAGUUAGAUUUCUUAUUGAUAAAAGAAAAAGACCAUUCAACAUUUAACUAGAUGGAAAAAAAAUCUUUAUUUAUUAGAAAAUUCAAAUUAUUUUUUGAAUGAUGAAUCAUGGAUAAGGAUAAAUACUCUAGAUGGGUCAAAUAUGGUAGAUAACUUGGUUCCAAUAAAUAUUACAUUAAAUUUUUUUGGAACUUAUAUUUCUGCUAACUAAAAGCAACCUCUAUAUGGAUUCAAUAUAGAGGAUGGUGUGACCGUAAAGUUAUUUCUUUAAAUUUUUGGCCGUAUAUUGUCACUUAACUACCACUUAUAAUAAUAAUAAUGAUGAUGAUGAUAGAGGAAACUGCAUGGGACCCACGAAGGCAUGGGGAGUACACGCUAUUGGUGUCGGUGAGGAGAAGAUAGAGGAAACACAUUGGGGGGUGAGUGAGGGAGCAAGGGCGGGAUGGAGUCAACAAGAGUGUUGACUGAGGAUAAUAAAGGGGCACGCCGCCCUGCCGGGAGCGUGGUGGCAUGAAUUACUUGGGCGGAGCGACAUGUCACGUGGACCGUGGCGACCUGCAGACCCGGAGGGGUAGCGUUGUCUAACGGAUUUUAGAAAAUUCGUGCAACUAGCCAUAUGGAUUUUGGAAUAAAAUAAAAAAUAAGACUUUAUUUUUGUUAUUUCUUUUAUCAAGAUGUCUUAAUUUAUAAUUCAAAAAUGUUAAUAAUAAAUUAUAAAAGAGAUUUUUGCUACUCUUCGAAAUUAUAAAAAAGUUUAUACACUCAUAAAACAAAUAAAUGUAUCUUCUAAUAAAUAAAUUUUUAUUAAAAUAAAUAAAUGUAUAUCUACUUUGAAUUUAUUAACAUGAAGUAAAUUGUAGGUAUCUUAAGUUAGAUUUUUUAUUGAUUAAAGAAAAAGACCAUUCAAGGUUUAACUAGAUGGAAAAAAAAUCUUUAUUUAUUAGAAAAUUAAUUUUUUUUUAAUGAUGAAUCAUUGAUAAUGAUAUAUAAAAAUAAUUUAUAUAUAUCAUAUAUUAAUAUUAUUUUAUAAAUAUUUUUAGUUUUUCGUUUUUAACCAUAAAUUUAAUUUAUAAUUAAAAAAUUUAUUUUAUAAAAUAAAUAUAUAAAAAAAUAAAUUUAUGAUAUAUGAGAUAUACAUAUCUUAUAUCUUAGUAUAGAAUUAACAUAUUUCGUGUAAAAGGAAUAAAAAAAGAGUGAAUAAUAUAUUUCACCACUUAAACUAUCUCAUCAUUAAUUAAAUAUAAAAUUUGAUGUAAUAUCUUCUCUUUUAUCCUGUAUGAUGUUACAUUUGAUCAACCAAACAUAACCUAUAAAGUUAAAAUUAUAGAAAUGAAAUGUAAGAGACCUUACUGAAAAAUAGAAAGUAAAAUGAUUGAUUUUUGAAAGUAAAUAUUGAUAAUAUUAUAAAAUUUUCACUAACAUAAAUUAAAAAAUUCAAGGAAAAAAAAAACAUAACACUAUCCUCACAAUUCCGUGAUAUUGUUUUUUUCAUAUUAGAAAUCCUUAUAAUCAACUUUCCUUUUUAUACGUUUUAAAAAGAAUUUUUAUUACUAAUUUAGAUUAAAAAAAAAAAAAAAAACCUUUCAACCAACCACACAUGUGACAUGGUGGUUGUUUUUAAAUUUCAAUAAAAGAUUUUAUAAUUAUUAAGAAAAGAAAAAAAUGUUAAAAAAAAAUGAUUAUUUUUUUUUAUUAUGAAAUAUACGAAAGUAAAAAUAUAUAAUUAAAAUUAAUAAAAAAACUAAUAUAUUUUAAAAUUAUUUACUUUUUAUUUUUAAAAAUUAAAUAAAUAAAAUAAAUUUAAAAUAAAAUAUAAAAAUAAUUUAUUAAUUUUAAAUUUAUUUUUUAUUUCUCUCUCACUUGUUCUUUAAGACGUGUUGUGUGUAAAAUACCAUAAAACAAGUCAUAUCACCAUGCUCAAGAUUUCAACAUGGUAGGUGUAGGUUUUGAAGACUUUUCCAUAUGAUUAAUACUUGGAUACCUGAAUUUUCUUUGGGUGGGGUUGGGCUUCUGUAAGUUUCUCUGCAAUUUUCUCCUACUUGGAAACAAAGGAAUGGUCAAAGAGAGGAACUCAGUGAAGAGAAGAUUGAAACGGACUGGAUACACCCUCGCUUGCUCCGAAGGUUGGUAUGAUCUUCAUGGUCGGUAGGCCUUCUCAAGUCUCCAUGCAUGCCUCAUUUUUCCCAUAUGAUAAAUCAAUGGUAGGAAGAGCGAGCUUCACACGAACAAACACAAUAAAAUCAUUAAAUUUUUGGAAUAAUAAUAUGAUGAAGUUGAUAAAUGAUAAGGAUUAGGAAGAUGUUUAAUGAAAUUUUAAACUAAUAAUAAUUAGAUGUAUUUAACCUAAACUUUUGGAGAGAUUAAUGAAAUUAAUCAUAUAAAAAUUUCUCUAAUUUUAAUUUUAGAAUAAAUAUUAACAAUAUUUUUUUCAAAUAUAAAUAAUAAUAUUUGGAAAACAUCAUCAGUAAAUUGCCUUUUCAAUUUUUUGUCUAAUUGUCAUUUUAAAUGAAUAUUAAAAUCCUUUUAGUAAAAUUUAUGAAUUUAGUAAAAUAUUAAUAUCUAUAUUUUAUAAAUUUUAAUAAAGUUUUAUUAUUUUUAAUAAAAAAAAAAUUAUAUAAGUUGUGUUUGUCUUAUUAGUAUCACUAUUUACAAAAUUUAUCUUUAUAUUAUUUAUUUUAAAAAUUAUUAUUUAUUAAGAAUCAUUUUUAUAAAAGGUAAAAAAUAAUUACCAUAUAAAUAUAAAUUAAAAGUCGAGGUUAUAUUUGUUAAUUAUUUUUAAAAAGGGAUUUCAAAACAUUACUUUCUCCAAAAAUAACAAUAAUAAUAUUAUAAACACAAUAUUUACUCAAAAUAUUAUGUAAAUGAAAAACUUAAAAAUAAUAUAUAUUUGUUUUUUAAAAAAUAUUUUUAGUCAUAAUUAAAGGUCAUCUACUCAACAUGUUGGUGGGAAUGGUAUAUAAGUCAAUGCCUGCUUUGCUCACAAAUCAAAAACCAAAACUUGCUAAUCCUUGUUAUUACACACUAUCCUUGCUCUGUGUUGAACAUGGCUACAAGCCCCUUUCGAUAUUUUAUUUCCCUUUUUCUGCUUUUGCUCUGUUUCGAAGCCUGUUUGAGGGUGGGUGAUGCUACAGUUGGGUGCAGAGAGAGGGAGAGGCAAGCUCUCCUUCACUUCAAACAAGGUGUUGUCGAUGACGAUGGAGUGCUUUCUUCAUGGGGGAAUGGGGAAGACAAAAGAGAUUGUUGCAAAUGGGCAGGAGUGGAGUGUAACAACCAGACGGGUCAUGUGAUCAGGCUUGAUCUUCAUGACCAAUCUUUGGGAGGUAAGAUAUCUCAGCUUGGUCCUUCAUUGGCAGAGUUGCAGCACUUGAAGCAUUUGAACCUCAGCUAUAAUGAUUUUAAAGGUAAUUAUAUACAUAUAUACCUUGUGAAAAUUCAUCAGCUUGUCUCAGCAGAAUAUAAUUCUCUCUUUUCCCAAUUUUACAGGAAUUCUUCCCACUCAACUUGGAAAUCUUUCCAAUUUGCAAUCCCUUGAUCUCGGCAGUAAUUAUGGGCAUAUGAGCUGUGAGAACCUUGACUGGCUUUCUCACCUUCCUUCGUUAACACACCUUGACUUGAGUGGGGUUUAUCUUAGUAAAGCAAUCCACUGGCCACAAGCAAUUAAUAAAAUGCCUUCCCUAACUGAGUUAUACUUGAGUGAUACUCAGCUUCCUCCGAUUAUUCCAACAAUAUCCAUUUCCCAUAUUAAUUCUUCUACUUCUCUUGCUGUGCUUCAUCUCUCCUUGAAUGGUCUCACUUCUUCAAUAUACCCAUGGUUGUUCAACUUCAGUAGCAGCCUUGUUCAUCUUGACCUCUCUAUGACUGAUCUAAAUGAAUUAAUUCCGGAUGCUUUUGGAAACAUGACUACUCUGGCAUAUCUUGAUCUCUCUUGGAACGAGCUAUGUGGUUCAAUUCCGGAUGCUUUUGGAAACAUGACUACUCUGGCAUAUCUUGAUCUCUCUUUGAACGAGCUACGUGGUUCAAUUCCGGAUGCUUUUGGAGACAUGACUACUCUGGCACACCUUGACCUUCAUUCUAAUCAUCUAAAUGGAUCAAUUCCGGAUGCUUUUGGAAACAUGACUAGUCUGGCAUAUCUUGAUCUCUCUUCGAAUCAA
rnacentral:lncRNA from 1 species